CAAGUGGUGGCCGAGUGGUUUAGGCGAUGGACCUUGAAAUCCAUCUAUUACGCGCUUAAAUCUCCACAUGA
rnacentral:tRNA from 1 species